AUCCCAUGAUAGGGACAUUUCCUUAACAAUUGUUUGAAUCUUUCCCAAGAAUCAAAUAAUAACUCGUCAUCUCCUUGUCUAAAUGAAGUAAUUUCAUUUCUCAUCUU